rnacentral:lncRNA from 1 species
AGUUUGACAUCCAGUGACUUUCCUGAUUAGGGUUGUUAGGUUAAAUGAGAAAAUGUUAAAAGUCCGUUCUCUCUACAGAUGAUGGGAGAAGUGGCCUCUUGAGUUGGAAGAGAGACAAAAAGCAGCAUGGAGUGUGUUUGCCAGUGUGGUCUUACCUGGGCUCCAGUGAGGAAAGCAGGCACCAAAGAGGGAAGCAAAAGAGAGAGAGUGCUGGAGAGGGGAGAAAAAUCAGAAGUCCCAGGGCAGGGAAGGGAUAGGAAGUGCUCCCCCUCUGCCACCUUCACCUUAAAAUCUAGUCUAUCACUGUUAGCUGCUAGGAAGAGAACAAUUUAAUCCAACCAGCUUGGGCAUUGAAGGUGUGCUACUCUAGAUUAGAAUAAACUCAGCAUAUUUUUAAUGGAAAAAUAAUGCUCUGUUUCCUGAGUUUUAACCUCUUAAACAAUUUGUACAUUUUUAAGGGAAAAGUCCAAAUGAAAUGUUUGCGAAUCUUAACGAAAGGUGGUGGGCAUUUGGGGACAUUUGGGGACAGGAAAGGGUCAUUCUCAGGGUGCCUGGUGCAUUGGGUACAGUUUACAUUCAGUAAAACUUCUCCUUCCUAGUGACUUCUCAGAAUCUCAGGUGUGUGAAUUGUACAGAAUUGUCGCUGAGCAGUUAUGAGUCUGUGGUAGCUGCUCGUUCAGGAGAUUUUACACUUCUCUUUGACCUCGUCUUGGAAGGCAUCUGUCUUGAAGCAGGCACAAUGGCAUCUUUCAAGACCUCCAAACUGUUUGAGAGGAUAACAUUCUUAGCCUUGGGAACAGGAGAGGCAAUGGAAGGCUGGGUCGCUACAAUCUCUGCAGCUGUUCACAGCUAGAACACCAUAAGCCUUGUUUCUUAAGCUAACCAUAGUAUUACCCUGUGUGGAUUCUGAUAGAGGCCUGGACACUGACCAGGGCUGGCUGGCUUUCCUCCUGGUUCUUUGCCCCUUCUUAGCUCUGUGGCUACUUAUUUAUAGCCAAUAUGGGGAUGAUGGUAUUUCCCUUACUAACGAUCUGGCUAGAAAAUGUUCUGCUGGCACACAGGAAGUGCUCAACUCAUUCUUAUUAAGCAGAGGUCACUUCAAGCCCCACCUUGAUUUCUAGAUUUAAAAAACAGGUGAUUUUUUCCCCCUACGUACCAUCUAGGGAUGCUCUUAUGGGACACUUAUAAGCCACAUGUGGCUGUAAAUUCAUUAAAGCCACAUGGCAUUGGCCAUUGAGUUCCUCACCUGUGUUAGAACAUUCACAACUCCACAAGUAGCUGCCAUCUCCUAUGCUGGAGAAUUCAGGUUGC